rnacentral:rRNA from 1 species
UAAGGAAUAUUGCUCAAUGGGAGAAAUCCUGAAGCAGCAACGCCGCGUGGAGGAUGAAGGGUCUAUGACUUGUAAACUCCUGUAAAGAAGGAAAAAAUUCCCAUUUGAUGGGAGAUGAUGGUACUUCUGGAGUAAGCCCCGGCUAACUACGUGCCAGCAGCCGCGGUAAUACGUAGGGGGCAAGCGUUGUCCGGAUUUACUGGGUGUAAAGGGUGCUCAGGCGGAUUUGUAAGCCAGAGGUGAAAUCUUACAGCUUAACUGUGAAACUGCCUUUGAUACUGCAAGCCUAGAGUAUGGAAGAGAGUGAUGGAAUAUCUGGUGUAGCAGUGAAAUGCGUAGAUAUCAGAUAGAACACCAAUGGCGAAGGCAGUCACUUGGUCCAUUACUGACGCUAAAGCACGAAAGCGUGGGUAGCAAACA